UGCUCCUAGCCUCUUCUUCCUCUCCUGCUCCUAUCCUCCCAUUCCUCCUCUCAAUUACUGUAAAUGUGUUGUUGUGUGUCAUAAUUUCUGAGUGUGUCUGUGUGUGUGUUUAUUGAUACUGUGCCUGUGUUUUGGUGUUGUGUAGAGGCUCUGCUAUAGCGAACAGCCUGUCUCAGAUCACCAUCAGUCUGCUCCUCUACUUAUAUAUCUGUUGGAGAGGCCUCCACAAGAACACCUGGGCAGGCUGGUCCAGUGAGGCCCUCCAGGAGUGGGGUUCCUACAUGCAACUGGCCAUCCCCAGUACCCUGAUGGUCUGCUUCGAGUGGUGGGUCUGGGAGAUAGGAGGCUUCCUCGCUGGUAUGCUAGGAGAGGUGGAUCUAGCAGCACAGCAUGUGCUGUUGGAGAUAGGAGCCAUUACCUACAUG